rnacentral:snRNA from 1 species
GUGCUUUCUUCAGGAGCAUGUAUACUAAAACUGGCAUGAUGUAGAGAAGAAUAGCAUGGCCCCUGCACAAGGAUGCCAUGCAAAUCUGUGAAGCAUUCGAAAUUUUU